CACACACACAUACACACACAGUGGUCACACGUGCCCAGGCAAAGAAUCUAAUUGAUGCUGGAGUGGAUGGACUGCGCGUGGGCAUGGGCUCUGGCUCAAUAUGCAUUACGCAGGAGGUGAUGGCUUGCGGCUGCCCGCAGGCCACGGCCGUGCAUCAGGUGGCGACGUUCGCCAGGCAGUUCGGUGUGCCGGUGAUUGCCGAUGGUGGCAUUCAGUCGAUUGGGCACAUUGUGAAGGCAUUGGCAUUGGGCGCCAGCGCUGUGAUGAUGGGCUCCCUGCUGGCUGGCACCUCGGAGGCGCCCGGUGAGUACUUCUUCUCUGAUGGCGUGCGCUUGAAGAAGUAUCGCGGCAUGGGCUCGUUGGAGGCGAUGGAGCGUGGCGAUGCCAAAGGUGCGGCCAUGUCCCGUUACUAUCACAACGAAAUGGACAAGAUGAAGGUGGCACAGGGCGUCAGCGGCAGCAUUGUGGACAAGGGCUCCGUGCUGCGCUAUCUGCCGUAUCUGGAGUGCGGACUGCAGCAUAGCUGCCAGGACAUUGGCGCCAUUUCCGUUAGCAAACUGAGAGAAAUGAUCUACAAUGGGAAGCUGCGCUUCAUGAAGCGCACCCAUUCGGCCCAGCUGGAGGGCAAUGUGCACGGCCUGUUCAGCUACGAGAAGCGUCUCUUCUAACAUACAAACAGUGCUGCAGCGAUGCCAACUGCUGUCAGCCAGUAUCAACAGCAGCAUCAGCAGCAGCAGCAGCAACAGCAGCAGCAGCAGCGGCAGCGGCAUCAGCAGCGUCUCGUUUACCAUGCAGCAGAUGAUUUUGGUCGAGUCCUGAACGACUAGCGUGGAGCUGGCUUAAAGCCUGGCCACGAUUUACUUAAUUGUUAA